rnacentral:rRNA from 1 species
UACGUAGGGUGCAAGCGUUAAUCGGAAUUACUGGGCGUAAAGCGUGCGCAGGCGGUUUUGUAAGUUUGUCGUGAAAUCCCCCGGGCUCAACCUGGGAAUUGCGAUGGAGACUGCAAGGCUAGAAUCUGGCAGAGGGGGGUAGAAUUCCACGUGAUGAGCAGUGGAAAUGCGUAGAGAUGUGGAGGAACACCGAUGGCGAAGGCAGCCCCCUGGGUCAAGAUUGACGCUCAUGCACGAAGGCG